rnacentral:lncRNA from 1 species
GUAGCCUUUCUGGUUGGGGCACAAAGUGACAUCAUCUGGUUUACCAUUGCAUUUGUAGACUAUGAUACUUCAUAGAUGACAUGUACACUUGGCGAUCACAAAGCUGUCUGGCCCAUGUUAUUCUUUGUGGAGAGAUGAGGUGUAAUUGCUUAAACAUAAAAGACUUUUGAAGCAAUACUUGGUCUAAUGCAGGUGCUGAUUACCACCAAACAAAAUGAAAUCCCUCCCAUCUCCUGAGGUGAGAUUUCUGGAAUUGUUAAAUUGAAUUCAAGGGGUUGUUUUUCAGUGUUUUGUAAUGUCUGUGACAUUUAUGUUUGAAACCAAACUGAUAACUGUCUGAUGACAUGUAGCACAGUUCCCUGCAAUAUAGCCACGCAGUAUAUAUACACAGAGAAUUUGGCCACUCAUCAUCAGCUGUGUGCAUUUGGGCACGUCACUUACUCAGAUCUCAGUUUCUGCAUCUGCACAUGGAGAGGUUAAUAACGCCCAC